rnacentral:tRNA from 1 species
CCUUCGAUAGCUCAGUUGGUAGAGCGGUGGACUGUAGCAGCGCACACGAAGAGAAAUCCAUAGGUCGCUGGUUCAAAUCCGGCUCGAAGGA